AUGAGCCAAGAUUGGUGCCCUUUAAGGCACUACAUAGUAUUAAACUGAAGAGUUUGAUCAUGGCUCAGAUUGAACGCUGGCGGCAGGCUUAACACAUGCAAGUCGAGCGGGGAAAGGUAGCUUGCUACUUGACCUAGCGGCGGACGGGUGAGUAAUGCUUAGGAAUCUGCCUAUUAGUGGGGGACAACAUCUCGAAAGGGAUGCUAAUACCGCAUACGUCCUACGGGAGAAAGCAGGGGACCUUCGGGCCUUGCGCUA
rnacentral:rRNA from 1 species